CUAUACAUGCAAGUCGAGCGGACAGAAGGGAGCUUGCUCCCGGAUGUUAGCGGCGGACGGGUGAGUAACACGUGGGUAACCUGCCUGUAAGACUGGGAUAACUCCGGGAAACCGGAGCUAAUACCGGAUAGUUCCUUGAACCGCAUGGUUCAAGGAUGAAAGACGGUUUCGGCUGUCACUUACAGAUGGACCCGCGGCGCAUUAGCUAGUUGGUGAGGUAACGGCUCACCAAGGCGACGAUGCGUAGCCGACCUGAGAGGGUGAUCGGCCACACUGGGACUGAGACACGGCCCAGACUCCUACGGGAGGCAGCAGUAGGGAAUCUUCCGCAAUGGACGAAAGUCUGACGGAGCAACGCCGCGUGAGUGAUGAAGGUUUUCGGAUCGUAAAGCUCUGUUGUUAGGGAAGAACAAGUGCAAGAGUAACUGCUUGCACCUUGACGGUACCUAACCAGAAAGCCACGGCUAACUACGUGCCAGCAGCCGCGGUAAUACGUAGGUGGCAAGCGUUGUCCGGAAUUAUUGGGCGUAAAGGGCUCGCAGGCGGUUUCUUAAGUCUGAUGUGAAAGCCCCCGGCUCAACCGGGGAGGGUCAUUGGAAACUGGGAAACUUGAGUGCAGAAGAGGAGAGUGGAAUUCCACGUGUAGCGGUGAAAUGCGUAGAGAUGUGGAGGAACACCAGUGGCGAAGGCGACUCUCUGGUCUGUAACUGACGCUGAGGAGCGAAAGCGUGGGGAGCGAACAGGAUUA
rnacentral:rRNA from 1 species